rnacentral:rRNA from 1 species
ACGUCACGAAUGUCGCGCUGGUGGUUGUGCCCUUGACGCGUGUCUUCGUGAGCUCUCACGUUUGUCCACCGCCUGGGGAGUAUAGCCGCGCGGUUAUAACUCUCAUGAGUUUUGAGGGGCCCCCACAAACGGUGGAGAACGUGGUUUAUUUCUCUGCGCCGCGAAAAAACUUAUCUGGUCUUGACAUCCACACCGGAUUUCACAGAUGAUGGUGUGCCUUCGGGAACCGUGAAACAGGUGCUGCAUGGCUGUCGUCACCUCGGGUUGUGAAAUGUUGGGUUAAUUCCCGCACCGAGCGCACCCCUUAUCCUUUGUUGCCGCCGGUCCUGCCGGGAACUCAUAGGAGACUGCCGGUGAUAAACUGGAGGAAGGUGGGGAUGACGUCAAAUCAUCAUGGCCCUUACGACUUGGGCUACACACGUGCUACAAUGGCGCAUACAAAGAGCUGCGACCUCGCGAGAUGGACGGACCUCAUAAAGUGCGGUCUAGUCCGGAUUGGAGGUCUGCAAACUCGAUCUCUGAAAUCGGAAUCCCUUGUAAUCCUGGAUCAAAUGCGCUGCUGAAAACAUUCUCGGGCCUUGUACACACCGCCCGUCACACCUCGUGAGUGGGUUGCACACCAAAUACGUGUCUUAUCCUUCUUGAGGACGCUUACCACUUUGGGAUUCUCGACGGGGGUGACUUCGUCACGGGGGGCCAUCCA